UAUAUCAAAAUUUUUAGUGAAUAUAAAUUAGAAAUCUAGGAUUCUAUUCAUACUAAGUCAGACAAGUACCACUGCACUCUUUUGAUUACUGUAGUUUUAUAGUAAAUCUUGAAGUCAGGUAGUGUGAGUCCUAAAACUUUGCUUUUAUUUUCUCAAAACUGUUUUGGCUAUUCUAGGUUGUCACAGAGAACUGGUUUGAGCUCCCUGCAUCACACAGCAAAUUUCCACUGGCCAUCUAUUUUACAUAUGGUAUGGUGAGGACAGGGUUUCCCAGAUGACUCAGUGGUGAAGAAUCCACCUGCCAACCAGGAGACACAGGUUUGAUCCCUGGGUUGUGAAGAUCCCGUGAAGAAGGAAAUGGCGACC